CAGUCAAUCUCAGGGUGAAUAAUUUCUGCUAUGGUGAGGGGCUGUGCUGUCAUUGCAGCUGAAUUGCUGCAAUCCUAUAGCUUUGGGAAUGUGGCAAGGCAGUAAGUUCUCUUUUGAAACUCCCAGGUUUGAUGCUUUUACUAAGGAAGGUCCCGACUGCACGCAGGUAUCCUGCAAUGUAUAGGGCCCUCACAAUUCCAGAACAUCAGGCAGGCCAAAAAUGCAGCAGAACUGAGAUGUUACUAAUUUUAAAUAGCAGGUUUUGGGGAUCUGGGGAAGUGGCAUCUGACUUCUGAAAAUAUUUUUUUUCCAUGGAUCUGGCUUGUGGGAAAUAUAGACAAUGAAGAGGGAUAAGGGAAAUCCUUUAUUUUAGCAACCAGCAUUACUCCAGAGAAUCCUGCUGGCAUCUCUGUAUUGGGCCCUCUGUGUCACAGGGUAAGAAGACAUCCUUUUCUCUAAUAUGACAGCUUCUGGCAUCCUGCUGGUGGGUGUCUCACAUUGUGCCUGUGUCAUACUAGAAAUGCACUUAUGUAGAGUGUUCACCAAACUUAGCCAGAGUGACUGCUAUCAGCUCCAUGGUAAACAUCUCUCAGCUGCUCCUGUGUCCUCUGGCUUGUGUAGCACAACAAUCAGCAAAUGUAACAUGGCACUAUAUUAUCUGUUGUUUCAGUUUGUGUGAUAAGAGCCUAUUUAUAACCAUGGAAACCUGAUAGCAUGACAAAAUAAGAUGAUGUCUUUCAAAACACUAGGCAGUGGAGUCACAAAUCAGAACUUCCUUGUGCUUAUCUGCCUGCCCUUACAACCCUGUUCACCUGUUCACACAGGGAAAAGCAGCACAUGUGUCCUGGGUUCAGUUCUAACAGUUAUCUUUCUCCUUCCUAGUAGCUGGUGCAGUGCUGUGUUUGGGCUUUAGCCUGAGAACAGUACUGGUAACACACCAAUGGUUUUAGUUGUUGCUAUGCAAUGCUUACUUUGAUCAAGUACUUCAGUCUCAUGCUUUGCCAGUGAGGAGGGGCACAAGAAGCUGGGAGGAAGCAAAGACAGGACACCUGACCCAAGCUAGCCAAAGGGAUAUUCCAUACUACAGCACAUCAUGCCUGGUAUAGAAACUGGGGGAGUCACCUUGAAGGCCCAGUUCACUGCUCAGGUUGGGCUGGGUAUCAGUUGGUGGGUGGUGAGCAAUUGUAUUGUGCAUCACUUGUGUUUAUUGUUGGGCUUUUCCCCUUCCCUUUUUAGUUUUAUAUUCUUUCCUCUUGUUACUUCCUUUUUCAUUAUUAUUAGUAAUAGUUGUAGUAGUUUUAUAUUGUACUUUAAUUAUUGGACUGCUCUUAUCUCAGCCCAUGGGAUUUACAUGCUUUCAAUUCUCCUCUCCAUCCUGGCCAGAGCAGGGGUGAGUGGGUGAGCAGAUGUGUGGUUGUGAAUUACUGGCUGGGUUUAAACCACGAUAACAUGUAACCUAAUCUGUACCUAAUAUGUACAGAUGAAAGAAGGCAGCACCAUUAGGCCUUUACCAUAGAGUCCAAUGAAGGACCAAGCACAGACAUCUAUGAGUUUACCUUCAAACUCUACAUUUCCUAGGUGCAGGAUUGCAGCCAACAGCUUGCUGAUGUCCCAGUGCUCAGAAUCUGAGAAUGUGAGGAUCUUCAUAGCCGAGCGGAUGUGAGCAUAAUCCUUUGCAUCAUUGCGGCCAUCACAGAAUGUGCAGUUGCCCUGCAAGACACCACACCUGCAGGUUCAAUGUAGCUGCUGUAGCUGUAUGAUGGGAAAGGCAACAAAAAGCCUCCAUGCAGGAGACAGAUUCUUGGGCCUCCUGCUGCAGUUCCAUAUCUGAAUCAGAGAUAAGUCAUGGCAACUAAUAGCUGGGGGUAAUGUGUGUUUAUCCACAUUACAUAGAUGUGUUUUAAUAGUAGCCUCCUUACCUGAGGGUUUUGUUCAGUUUUACAGCACAAAUGAAGAUACAGAUGCAGAAAUAGAGCAUAGGCCUUUCAGGGCUUGGAGACUUUCAGAGGGAGGCAAAAAAUCACAAGUCAGAGAAGAGAGCUUUCUGAAUGUUUCUAUCUGUGCAAAUCAUUCUUACUCAAGGAUUUUGCCUCAAAGUAAUUCUUUAGCAAACUUGUUUCUGAUACAAGAGGUUUUAGAAGUCUAUAUGUUGUGUGGGAUUAACAAAAUUCAAGUACUGAUUUUGUUAGAUGAAGGUCAAAUGUUGGCAAAUAAAUCAAAGUGCAUACUUUUAUGUUAUCAAGGCAGAUAUCUAAACCCAGAGCUUUUUGUGUAAUGAGACUGCAGGGAAAAAAGGGCUAUGCAUGUUUCUUCAGCAGGUGAAACAGACUUGCUGAAGUUCCAAAUGGAGCGUGUUUUGGGGCAGAAAAUCUCAUUGUGAAAAUACAGACAUUUUAAAACUUAUGACCAAGGUGUGGUGGGGGUUCUAUUUCAGAGAGAAGUACAGUAUUCCUGUCCUAGUACAUAUAUGAAUUAUAUGAAAUGGAAACAUGGAACUCAAAGUAGUCUGAAAGAAAAGCACAACUUAUUGUAUGGCUGAAGUAACGUAUUUGAAGGGAGACAGAUUCCCACAGUUAAGUCUAGACAUACUCAAGAGCCAGAAAACAUAAGCUGAAGGAGUAGAGACUUGAUAUUCCAAGCAGGAGCAGCAUAGAUGCUUUGUAAAGCACAUGUACCUAAUGAGACAUGAGCAGGUGGCUUGCUAAAGGCUUCUUUAGAAAGUACCUGUCAAGGAACAGGGGUAGCUCAAGUUUGGGAAGUCACUGAGCUGUGUGAACAGGGAACAACAAGAGCUUGAAGGAGGCAGCAAAGCAGUUUACCACUGAAGACAAGGUUUGGUGAGGGACUGUGCAGGGCACAGACACACUUAUAGCUGUAAUUAGGGGUAAUUUGUCCUGUGGUCUGUGCUGAUGAAUAAUGCACUGAGAAAGGCAGCUAAUGAAAAUUUGCUAAUCCCUGGUGACUUUAAUCCUGCUGUUGUUCAGAGCAAUGGGUCUGUCCGGAUAGACAUGUGUUAACAAAACUGUCUCUUCCUGACAGCUUCCUAAUUAAGAGAUUGAUGUCAGGAUCAAAGGGUUUAAUUUGCACAUGGCACUACCUCUCACAUUUCUUCUCCAGCUAAAUAAAAGUGGCCUUGUCAGUUCUGCAUCACCAAGUCCCAGAUGCCAAGCAUGGUUUUAUGUUAAACUAGGUGUUUUUUUUGUCUGAGGUUUCUGAAGGAAGGUGUCUGAUUGGAGAGAACAAUUUGCAAUUUACACUGCUCGUUCAGAAGCCCUCCUGUCUCCACUAAACUCCUUCCCCCCUUCUAAGCAGAUUUGUAGCUUUAAGUCACUGAUGUCUCUUCACUCUGAAAGGCACACUGCAGGGAACAAAUCAAACUAAAUAAGAGGUACAUACCAGUAAAAGAUUUCCAAGCACAUCCCUUGGUUGUCUGGUGCAUUCUGUCCUUCAGGAAAAGGCUUAUUUCAUCCCAGCCAGUUCACGAUGAUUUUGUACAGAGAGGCAGACUGAUGGGGCUCUGGGAUUGUGUGUCAGUACACACCUUCACACACGCCAAGAGGGCACUGCUUACCCUGCUUGGUAGAAGGCAGGUCAUUCUCCCCUACUGCGCAAUCCCAUUAUGGUCUGAGUGUCAAUCCAUCCUUCCUCUUGGGAUGCAGCCAAGAGGGUAUUACAAGAGUAUAUUACAGGCCAGUAUGUGCCAAGUUCUGGCUCAUGAGGGACAAAGACAUGUGCACACAAGC